AGAAAUACGUAUAUUAUAAGCAAAGUUUCAUUGCUGCUGACAUGAUGGUGCUGAAGCACAACAAAACUACUGGAAAAAGGAGGCAGAAUUCGUCUUUGCAGGACACCAAAUGAGAAGCAUGUUUAAACAACUGUUUCCACCAUUCCCUAACAAAAUGUUCUCUUAUGAUACACCACUUGCAAAAUGAUACUCUGAAAGGCCUGGAAACUCCCCUGCAAGAAAAGUUAGUUUUGUUUCUUCUUGAUGUGUUGUUUGUUUUUUUUUUUUAAUUUUGUGGGAUUGUGCAGUUUGUU